GACGAACGCUGGCGGCGUGCUUAACACAUGCAAGUCGAACGGUGAAGCGCCUUCCUUUUUGGUGGGUGUGGAUGAGUGGCGAACGGGUGAGUAACACGUGAGUAACCUGCCCCCUUCUUCUGGAUAACCGCAUGAUAGUGUGGCUAAUACGGGAUAUUCUGGGUCUGUCGCAUGAUGGGUCUGGGAAAGAUAUUGUUUCGGUGGGGGAUGGGCUCGCGGCCUAUCAGCUUGUUGGUGGGGUGAUGGCCUACCAAGGCGGUGACGGGUAGCCGGCCUGAGAGGGUGGACGGUCACACUGGGACUGAGACACGGCCCAGACUCCUACGGGAGGCAGCAGUGGGGAAUAUUGCACAAUGGGCGCAAGCCUGAUGCAGCGACGCCGCGUGAGGGAUGGAGGCCUUCGGGUUGUGAACCUCUUUCGCCAGUGAAGCAGGCCUGCCUCGUUUGUGGGUGGGUUGACGGUAGCUGGAGAAGAAGCGCCGGCUAACUACGUG
rnacentral:rRNA from 1 species